UACGAAGGGGGCUAGCGUUGCUCGGAAUUAUUGGGCGUAAAGAGCUCGUAGGCGGUCUGUCGCGUCUGCUGUGAAAACCCGAGGCUCAACCUCGGGCCUGCAGUGGGUACGGGCAGACUAGAGUGCGGUAGGGGAGAUUGGAACUCCUGGUGUAGCGGUGGAAUGCGCAGAUAUCAGGAAGAACACCGAUGGCGAAGGCAGAUCUCUGGGCCGUAACUGACGCUGAGGAGCGAAAGCGUGGGGAGCAAACAGG
rnacentral:rRNA from 1 species